AUACGGAGGGAACAAGCGUUACUCGGAAUCACUGGGCAUAAAGGGGGUAUAGGCGGGCGAAUAAGUCCGGUGUGAAAGCCCCCGGCUCAACCGGGGAAUGCCAUCGGAAACUGUUCGUCUUGAGUGCGGGAGGGGAGAGCGGAACUCCUGGUGGAGCGGUGAAAUGCGUAGAUAUCAGGAGGAACGCCGGUGGCGAAAGCGGCUCUCUGGCCCGUUACUGACGCUGAGGCCCGAAAGCUAGGGUAGCGAACGGGAUUAGAUACCCCAGUAGUCC
rnacentral:rRNA from 1 species